rnacentral:rRNA from 1 species
GGAUGGAUCACCUCCUUUCUAAGGAAA